rnacentral:tRNA from 1 species
UAGCUCAGCUGGUAAAGAAUCUGCCUGCAAUGCAGGAAACCCAGGUUCGAUCCCUGG